rnacentral:tRNA from 1 species
UAUAGUUUAGUAUAUAAUGUACGUGAAUUUUUGAUAUUCAAAAUAAUAGUUUGGUCUAUUAACUAUAG